rnacentral:lncRNA from 1 species
AUACAAUAAUCAACAAAAAUUUCCUGACCCGAGCCCGUUCACAUUCACUAUGCCCCCUUUGACCUCCAUUAAUUUUCAUUCCAUUAUAUUUCAUUUUUCUCUCUCCUAUUUUCAACCACACAAUCUUCCAAAAAUUAAUAUUACACGUAAAUCGAUAACUUUUCCUUUUUUUCAACCACUCAUUUUUCAAAAAAAACAGUAUUCUACCUAUUUUCAUUUUCACAAAAUGAAAGCUGAACAAGGACUUAAUUAAUAUCUGAUCACAAAGUUGUUUCACGGUGCAAAUUGUUAGAAGGAAUUUAGGCUACUAUUUUGGAAUGUUUGACUUAGAUCAUUGGGAUUAACCCUGUUAAGUAGAUGCUCUUGCAAGGUUUUUUAUUUUUAAUUUUUUUAUAAGUUAACGGUCUACAAUAAUUAACAAAAAUUUCCUGAACAGAGUCCGUUCACAUUCACUACUAAAUAAUUAAUAUCUUAUCAUGAAGUUGUUUCUCGGUACAAAUUGUUAGAAGGAAUUUUGAAGUAAAUAAUGUUUUAAGUUUUUUCAUAUAUUCAUAAAUUUUGAGAAUGCACCAGUGCAAAUGAAAUAUGGAAACACAAACAGAUGUAUGUGCAUGCAUAUGCAUACAAGCAGUAGUGCAAACAUUUUUUUUAGAAGACGAAUUGUUCUUUAAUACAAAUUAAUUCUGUUCUCCUCCCGACCCUCGAUUUAUUUGUUCUCCAAGAAUGUUGAGCCGGGUAGGUAAGCCAUGUUUCAGCUAUUAAACUGGAUAUUAUGAGCUUUUAAUAACUUAAGAUCAACAUAAACAUUUAGCGUAGACUCU